UAAGUUUGAUUCUAGCUUCCAAAUUAAUAAUUUUUAGAAUAAACACAUGCAUACUUCGUAAACCCGUAAGGUUAUUUAUCUAUUUUAAAACCAUAAUCGAAAAAUAAUGUUUUCUCUUUAUUUUUUAACUUCCUUACGUCUGCAGUGACUAACCCUCACCAUCCUUUGCGAAAGCAAGAUUGGGUCUAAACUUUUUAUAGGCUGGCAAAAUCUGUGCCAGCAGUCGCGGUUAUACAGAAAGCCUAAUUUAAUUUCUUCAGGUUUGAUUUUAGAGGAUAAAUUAUUAAUUUUUGGGGUUCAAUCCACUUUAUUUCUUUUCUUUCUUCCUCACUUACUUCUCGAAAGUCUAAACCAAAACAAGGAUUAGAUACCCUUCUAUUCUAGACCUUAAAUUUAAACCUGGGCACUACGAACUCAUGUUUAAAACCCAAAGAACUUGGCGGUACUCUAACCUCUCAGGGGAACCUGUAACUUAAUUUGAUAAUCCACACAAACCUUACUUUUCUUCGAUUUAUUUCAGCUUGUGUACUGCCGUCGUCAGUUUACCUUUUAAAAGCCCUAGUAAACUUUUCGAAUUUCUCUCUUUACGUCAGGUCUUAGUGCAGCUUAUGGAAAAGUGCUCUAUGGGUUACAACCUUCACUCAGAUACUCACUCUUUUUUUAAAAUAAAGAUUAAGGUGGACUUGAUUGUAAGGAUACUUUUAUUAAUUUAUCCUGAACCUGGAAAUCUAGAGUGUGCACAAAUCGCCCGUCGCUCCCCUUGAAAAAGGGGAUAAGUCGUAACAUAGUAGGGGUAAUGGAAAUUGCCCCUACC
rnacentral:ncRNA from 1 species